rnacentral:rRNA from 1 species
GAGGAAUAUUGGACAAUGGAUGGAAAUCUGAUCCAGCCAUGCCGCGUGAAGGACGACGGUCCUAUGGAUUGUAAACUUCUUUUGUAUGGGAGCAAUAAGGUCUACGUGUAGAUCGAUGAGAGUACCAUACGAAUAAGCAUCGGCUAACUCCGUGCCAGCAGCCGCGGUAAUACGGAGGAUGCGAGCGUUAUCCGGAUUUAUUGGGUUUAAAGGGUGCGUAGGCGGUUGUAUAAGUCAGCGGUGAAAUUUUCCGGCUUAACCGGGAGACUGCCGUUGAUACUGUAUAGCUUGAAUACGGUUGCUGUGAGUGGAAUGUGUGGUGUAGCGGUGAAAUGCAUAGAUAUCACACAGAAUAUCGAUUGCGAAGGCAGCUCACAAAGCCGUUAUUGACGCUGAUGCACGAAAGUGUGGGGAUCAAAC